rnacentral:lncRNA from 1 species
GAUGCUUUAUCCUUUGACAUUAAGAAUGCUGUUUGCAGAAGUAACAUUCCUUUGAACACUCAGCUUUCUGAAAUGGUGUCCCACCACAAGGACUGGAGAAGGAUCUUGCUUUCUUUUGUAUGUUUGCAAAGAAUAAAUAGUACACUUCCUUGAUCCGUGGUUCCUAAAGUGUGAUUCCCAACAAGCAGCAUCAGGAUCACCUGGAAACUUGAUAGAAAUAUAAAUUCUACAGUCCCUCCUUGGAGCUACAGAUUCAGAAAUUCUGAAGUUUAAUUCCAGCAAUUGGUUAUAAUAAGCUCUCUAGGUGAUUCUGACUCACACCAAGGUAAACCUCAGGUUCUCCUCCUGCCUUUUGCUAAGUAUAUGUCUUGAUGACAAGCCUUCUGCUAAUGAGCUGUGUUUCUGGACCGAUCAUGGUAGAAGUCAAUUGAAGUGUCCCUCACUUGGGGUUUCUUAAGGCUGCACUGAUGAGGAAACUGAAACAGAAAAUCCAGAGUAAAUUCCACCAGGCCACACAGCAAGGUCUGAUAGAGCCAGGAGAGACUUUAUGAAAUCCAGACUCUCACACUAAUGCUCUAUCAGCUAGACCUCCAUGUGAGUCUCCCCAAUGUAGGUAGGAAGCACUUUCCCUAAAAUGCUCAUAAAGCAAAUCAGAGCAAUGCUUCAUUUCAUGUGAUUUCUAAUUUGAAAUGCAAACAAUUGCCAAUUUGUUUGACUUGUAUUUAUAAUUAUUUCCUUGUGAAUUACUCAUCACUAAAUGCUUUAUAAAUAUUUUCUCUUUUUUUUCUCAAUGUCUAUGGAAUGAUCACAGCAUAGAAAAUGUUGGCUUUCAAGGAUUUAUUAAUAUCUCCUUUUGAAAUAGCAUGUAUUUGUAAGACAGUAUAAAAUCACUUUAAA